rnacentral:rRNA from 1 species
UACGUAGGGUGCAAGCGUUGUCCGGAAUUACUGGGCGUAAAGCGUGCGCAGGCGGUUUUGUAAGCCAGAUGUGAAAUCCCCGGGCUUAACCUGGGAAUGGCAUUUGGGACUGCAAGGCUGGAGUGUGGCAGAGGAGACUGGAAUUCCUGGUGUAGCAGUGAAAUGCGUAGAUAUCAGGAGGAAUACCGAUGGCGAAGGCAGGUCUCUGGGACGGUGACUGACGCUGAGACGCGAAAGCGUGGGGAGCGAACAGG